UCGACAUGUUUUUGGAGUCUUUAUUUAGAGCGAUUUCCGUGUCGGAGUGGUAGGCCUAUACUAGCCUAUCAGAAGGCAUUGAAAAGCCCUGCCUCCUCUUGGGUACGUUCAUGACACACUAUACACAUUCUACCCUUACUGGCACAAUACCAUUGCAUUAUUGAAGUGGUGGUGUGAACAGACAGUUUAAAAAAUGAUUGUCUAAUUUCUUAAUUAAGUCAUUUUUGGUGAUGUCUAGUGCUGUAGAUAGAAGACAAUCACAGACAGCAAGAAAAGGUCGGGGUCCACGCCUUGGUUCUACUUCCCCCACAUGGAUAGGGUAAUACGGGUAUCCAGAACCAGCUAAGAACAAUGUCUAAUUGCUGACACAAAAAGCAACGUUUGGAGAAAAAAAAUGGUCUUCAAGGACAAUCUCCAUGCCGUAUUCUGCCUGGUGGGGAAUGCAGUUGGACCCACUGCCACACAGCCAGAUGACAUCCACACGCUCUACUCUGGAAAAGUACAGUGGAGCUCAACAACACUGAUGCUGAAGGCAGGCUAGUGCUCUCUGAUGGUGUGGUUAUGCCAGCAAGGAUCUCUGUUGACAUCAUCCUGGAUAUGGCCACUCUGACAGGGGCACAGGUGUGUGACGGGUGGCCUCUAGGGCCACAGCAGUGCAGCUUUGGCAACAACACUCGCCUACAUUACUUUGAUGCCCCACACUUCUUUAAUCACUUAUUGUCAUUUUGCAGCAAGAGAUUGAUAUAAUUUUGCAAUUAUAUAAAAGAUUUCUGCCUCUAAUAUUCGAUGUAUUUGUAUUGCUGUAAGAUUUAGUCCAAAAAAAAGUUAGGAAGUGAUGGUUUGGUAAUAAAUGUUAGACCAAGAAAGUCAAGUCAUCACUGGUACGUUGUUGAAACACUCAUAACUGUUUUACAUUCACUGCACUUCGAUCGGAGCAAAGGUUAACAGGGCUUGUGACAGACAUAAUACCUAGUUACGAAAAAGUUUUACUUUCUGUUUAUCUUUGCACUCACUGACAUCGUCUUGAGCUAAAGCUAAAACUCCCCACAUUCUCUAUGAGGAACUCAAAACAACUGUUAUCAAGGGUGUCUCACACAAGUGGAUGUAGUUAAUCACACACAAUUUUUAGGCCUACAAAAAUAGAUUUUCCUUAGAACAGUCAUUUUCUAACUCAAAACACACCUCGUGCUGGUGAUGACGACACUACAUCCUGUGGUAUCAUGAUGUGCUGCUUCGUCUCAUUCUGAAAACACCACAUGAUGCACCACAUUGGAUUUUUUAAUUGCAAGUCAAAGGAUGUGGGGACCGUCUUAAACAGUUAAACCAAAGGGAACGUUUUUGGAUUUACAAACUACAGGCCACUAAAUACCCUGGUUUAAAUUAAGAUAUGUAUUUCUCACCCUUCCUGUAGGGUUGUGAUAGGUCCAUUUGCUCUCAUCUAGUGGACAUUUUGCUCAAUUGCCCUCAGCUAUGUUUAGACUGUUGUUCAUGUUUUGCUGUGUUCUUGUGUACUAUGGAAUAUAUUGCUUUCUUAAUCUUGACACUUCUCCCAGUCAUAUUUAAGGUUAGAACUACCUUUCUAAGUGUUCUGAUACUUCUAACUUGGAGUUGUAUUUUUAUGAUAACAUAGCUACAGUAUUUCACUUCUUAAUGUGUAUAGUAUAGCUUACUAGGUGUCCAAUCAAUUUUGUAACCACUCCCUCUUCAAAUUAGGGCUAAUUGGAAAAGCUGUUCAAAAGAGGAUAUUGUAUUAUUUCUUUGUACUCCCUGACAAAGGCCAUGCAGCCGAAACGCGUCGGAUUUUUAAAACCUUGUUUCUAUUGAACAUGCCAUACAAAUAAAGGCAUUUUAAUUAAUUAUAUGAAGAGUGCCUUGGUCCUCCCUUUUCUUUUUGCUACCAAAUACUAAUUGAGUGUAUGUAAACUUCUGACCCACUGGGAUUGUGAUGAAAGAAAUAAAAGCUGAAAUAAAUCCCUCUCUAUUAUUCUAACAUUUCACAUUCUUAAAAUAAAGUGGUGAUCCUAAAUGACCUAAGACAGGGAAUUUUUACUAGGAUUAAAUGUCUGGAAUUGUGAAACUGAGUUGAAAUGUAUUUGGCUAAGUGUGUAAACUUCCAACUUCAAAUGUAUACUGAGAUCAUGUGACAGAUCAUGUGACACUUAUUUUGCACACAGGUGGACUUUAUUUAACAAAUUAUGUGACUUCUG